rnacentral:rRNA from 1 species
AUACGGAGGAUCCAAGCGUUAUCCGGAAUCAUUGGGUUUAAAGGGUCCGUAGGUGGAUAAUUAAGUCAGAGGUGAAAUCCUGCAGCUCAACUGUAGCAUUGCCUUUGAUACUGGUUAUCUUGAGUUAUUAUGAAGUAGUUAGAAUAUGUAGUGUAGCGGUGAAAUGCAUAGAUAUUACAUAGAAUACCGAUUGCGAAGGCAGAUUACUAAUAAUAUACUGACACUGAGGGACGAAAGCGUGGGGAGCGAACAGGAUUAGAAACCCCAGUAGUCC